rnacentral:rRNA from 1 species
GGGUUAAGUCCCGCAACGAGCCCAACCCUUUUCCUUUGUUGCCAGCGCGUCAUGGCGGGAACUCAAAGGAGACUGCCGGUGAUAAACCGGAGGAAGGGGGGGAUGACGUCAAGUCAUCAUGGCCCUUACGAGUAGGGCUACACACGUGCUACAAUGGCGUAUACAAAGAGAAGCGAACUCGCGAGAGCCAGCGGACCUCAUAAAGUACGUCGUAGUCCGGAUCGGAGUCUGCAACUCGACUCCGUGAAGUCGGAAUCGCUAGUAAUCGUAGAUCAGAAUGCUACGGUGAAUACGUUCCCGGGCCUUGUACACCCCGAACGGGACACCAUGGGAGUGGGUGCAAAAGAAGUAGGUAGCUUAACCUUCGGGA